rnacentral:rRNA from 1 species
GUGGCUCGAGGACGAACGCUGGCGGCGUGCCUAACACAUGCAAGUCGAGCGGAGUUAACAAGAGGAAGUUUCGGAUGGAAUUUGUUAAUUUAGCGGCGGACGGGUGAGUAACGCGUGAGCGACCAACCUUGCACAGGGGGAUAACGGACCGGAAGGUUCACUAAUACCGCAUGAGACCACGGUGUUGCAUGACACAGAGGUCAAAGGAGCAAUCCGGUGCAAGACGGGCUCGCGUCCGAUUAGGUAGUUGGUGGGGUAAUGGCCCCACCAAGCCUAUGAUCGGUAGCCGACCUGAGAGGGUGAUCGGCCACAUUGGAACUGAGAUACGGUCCAAACUCCUACGGGAGGCAGCAGUGGGGAAUAUUGGGCAAUGGGGGAAACCCUGACCCAGCAACGCCGCGUGAAGGAAGAAGGUUUUCGGAUUGUAAACUUCUGUCCUUGGUGAAGAGAAGAAGACGGUAGCCAAGGAGGAAGCCCCGGCUAACUACGUGCCAGCAGCUGC